AUCUAAGUACCCCGAGGAAAAGAAAUCAACCGAGAUUCCCCCAGUAGCGGCGAGCGAACGGGGAGGAGCCCAGAGCCUGAAUCAGCAUGUGUGUUAGUGGAAGCGUCUGGAAAGGCGCGCGAUACAGGGUGACAGCCCCGUACACAAAAGCGCAUGUGCUGUGAGCUCGAUGAGUAGGGCGGGACACGUGGUAUCCUGUCUGAAUAUGGGGGGACCAUCCUCCAAGGCUAAAUACUCCUGACUGACCGAUAGUGAACCAGUACCGUGAGGGAAAGGCGAAAAGAACCCCGGCGAGGGGAGUGAAAAAGAACCUGAAACCGUGUACGUACAAGCAGUGGGAGCACAGGUUUACCUGUGUGACUGCGUACCUUUUGUAUAAUGGGUCAGCGACUUAUAUUCUGUAGCAAGGUUAACCGUAUAGGGGAGCCGUAGGGAAACCGAGUCUUAACCGGGCGUUAAGUUGCAGGGUAUAGACCCGAAACCCGGUGAUCUAGCCAUGGGCAGGUUGAAGGUUGGGUAACACUAACUGGAGGACCGAACCGACUAAUGUUGAAAAAUUAGCGGAU
rnacentral:rRNA from 1 species